AGGUCCGGCUAACUUCGUGCCAGCAGCCGCGGUAAUACGAAGGGACCUAGCGUAGUUCGGAAUUACUGGGCUUAAAGAGUUCGUAGGUGGUUGAAAAAGUUGGUGGUGAAAUCCCAGAGCUUAACUCUGGAACUGCCAUCAAAACUUUUCAGCUAGAGUAUGAUAGAGGAAAGCAGAAUUUCUAGUGUAGAGGUGAAAUUCGUAGAUAUUAGAAAGAAUACCAAUUGCGAAGGCAGCUUUCUGGAUCAUUACUGACACUGAGGAACGAAAGCAUGGGUAGCGAAGAGGAUUAGAUACCCUCGUAGUCCAUGCCGUAAACGAUGUGUGUUAGACGUUGGAAAUUUAUUUUCAGUGUCGCAGGGAAACCGAUAAACACACCGCCUGGGGAGUACGACCGCAAGGUUAAAACUCAAAUGAAUUGACGGGGACCCGCACAAGUAGUGGAGCAUGUGGUUUAAUUCGAAGAUACGCGCAGAACCUUACCAACACUUGACAUGUUCGUCGCGACUCUAAGAGAUUAGAGUUUUCGGUUCGGCCGGACGAAACACAGGUGCUGCAUGGCUGUCGUCAGCUCGUGUCGUGAGAUGUUGGGUUAAGUCCCGCAACGAGCGCAACCCUCACUUUUAGUUGCCAUCAUUAAGUUGGGCACUCUGAAAGAACUGCCAGUGAUAAGCUGGAGGAAGGUGGGGAUGACGUCAAGUCCUCAUGGCCCUUACGUGUUGGGCUACACACGUGCUACAAUGGCAUCUACAACAGGAAGCAAAACGGCAACGUUAAGCAAAUCCCGAAAAGAUGCCUCAGUUCGGAUUGCACUCUGCAACUCGAGUGCAUGAAGCUGGAAUUACUAGUAAUCGUGGAUCAGCGUGCCACGGUGAAUGCGUUCCCGGGUCUUGUACACACCGCCCGUCACACCAUGGGAGUUGGUUCUACCUUAAGGCAAGGUUUCAAACCCUUGACCACGGUAUAGUCAGCGACUGGGGUGAAGUCGUAACAAGGUAGCCGUAGGGGAACCUGCGGCUGGAUUACCUCCUUU
rnacentral:rRNA from 1 species